rnacentral:rRNA from 1 species
UACGAAGGUCCCAAGCGUUAUCCGGAUUUAUUGGGUUUAAAGGGUGCGUAGGCGGGCUAUUAAGUCAGUGGUGAAAUCUCCGAGCCUAACUCGGAAAUUGCCAUUGAUACUGAUGGUCUUGAGUACAUUUGAAGUGGGCGGAAUGUGUCAUGUAGCGGUGAAAUGCUUAGAUAUGACACAGAACACCGAUUGCGUAGGCAGCUCACUAAACUGUAACUGACGCUGAGGUACGAAAGCGUGGGGAGCAAACAGG